AAGAAAAUCAACCCAGAUUAUCUUCCCUCAACCUUCCUCUUAACUCCAAUAAAAAUCCAGACAAAGGUAUUUAAAAGCCAGAUUUUCUGUAGAAGUCCUUUUUCUCCUUGAAUUUGCAGACUGUGGCUGUGUAAACCGACUGCCUGGCAAAAGUAAAAUUAAGCAAGUUUGGUUGCUCCAGAGAAGAAACUCCAGUCCAGGAACAAUUUUAAAAAAUGAAAGAAUUAACUUUCAUCUUCAGCCUGUUGGCUCUUACUGCAUGUUUCACGCCCAGUGACAGCCAGAGAGCUCCCAGGGGACCCUAUGGACCUGUUCUGCGGCCACCACCCCAUCUGCCCCCGCCAAGAGGGUUUCCGCCAGGCCUUAAUCCUCCCUAUGGCCCAGGAUUUAUUCCACCACCCCAUCCUCCUCCUUUUUUUCAGCCAU